rnacentral:tRNA from 1 species
GCGGGGGUGCCCGAGCUAGGACAAAGGGGCUGGACUUAAGAUCCAGUGGCGUAGGCCUACGCGGGUUCGAGUCCCGCCCCCCGCA